CGCGCCGUAACACAUGCAAGUCGAACGGUUAAAGACACCUUCGGGUGUGUAUAAAGUAGGCGAACGGCGUGAGUAACACGUCGGGCGAACCUGCCCCCUCGCACCGGGAUAGCCUCGGAAACCGUGGUUAAUACCGGAUACUCCGCGACCCCCGCAUGGGGGACGCGGGAAAGCCCAGACGGCGAGGGAUGGGCCCGCGGCCUGUUAGCUUGUUGGCGGGGUAGUGGCCCACCAAGGCGAUUAUGGGUAGCCGGGUUGAGAGACCGACCGGCCAGAUUGGGACUGAGACACGGCCCAGACUCCUACGGGAGGCAGCAGUGGGGAAUCUUGCACAAUGGGCGAAAGCCUGAUGCAAGCGACGCCGCGUGCGGGACGAAGGCCUUCGGGUUGUAAACCGCUUUCAGCAGGGACGAGGCCGCAAGGUGACGGUACCUGCAGAAGAAGCCCCGGCUAACUACGUGCCAGCCGCAGC
rnacentral:rRNA from 1 species